rnacentral:rRNA from 1 species
AGCGAACGUUAGCGGCAGGCCUAACACAUGCAAGUCGAGCGAGAAAGGGGCUUCGGCCCUGAGUAGAGCGGCGGACGGGUGCGUAACACGUGGAUAAUCUGCCCUUCGGCGGGGGAUAACAGUCCGAAAGGAUUGCUAAUACCGCAUACGACAGCGGGGUCUAUGACUUUGCUGAGGAAAGGGGGCGGCCCGCAAGGGGCGUCUCACCGGAGGAUGAGUCCGCGGCCCAUCAGCAGUUGGCGGGGUAAUGGCCCACCAAGGCAGAGACGGGUAGCUGGUCUGAGAGGAUGAUCAGCCACACUGGGACCGAGACACGGCCCAGACUCCUACGGGGAGGCAGCAGUGGGGAAUAUUGGGCAAUGGGCGCAAGCCUGACCCAGCCAUGCCGCGUGAGUGAUGAAGGCC